GGAGGAUCCCGCCAGCAGCUGCCCGCGGCCUUGCACCACCCCCGCCCCGGGUAGCACCUGCCCGGCAGACUCUGUGGAAAGGGAAAUACAGCAGUCAGUCUGGAUUUCUGGUACAGAUGCUUCAAGGCAGUUCUGACGACAAAAAGGAUUUUAAGCUUGUUAUCCGUAAACAGCAGAUUAUUUUUGAAACUGUGCACAACGCUUGUCUUUCAUACUGAAGAAAAAGAAUUUUAACGAGAUGGAGAAUCCUGGAAACACACAGCCAUGAAGCACAGAGCAGAUACAACAAAGUCUUCUGAAAACAGGCAGCUAUGUUUUAAAUACAUGGUAUACUAGAAGUAUUUCUAGU
rnacentral:lncRNA from 1 species